rnacentral:rRNA from 1 species
GUGAGCAACAAGCCCCAACCAUGAAGGCAUACUGAGUUCCUCAAUCCUAACCAUUAUAUCCAAUCAAGGUCUAUAACACAUCCAAAGAUGCCACAUUCCCAAGAUCUUUAUCCAAUGAUUAAAAUUGAUGCUGACCUAUCAACCAGAAAGUACGGUCACCCAAAAGGCAACUUGAUCCCUGGAAGACAUGACUGACUUCAAGCGUUUCCCUUUCAACAAUUUCACGUACUGUUUAACUCUCUUUUCAAAGUUCUUUUCAUCUUUCCCUCACGGUACUUGUUCACUAUCGGUCUCUCGCCAAUAUUUAGCUUUAGAUGGAAUUUACCACCCAUUUAGUGCUGCAUUCCCAAACAACACGACUCGUCGAGAGCAUAUCACAUAAAGCCCUGGUAUUCCC